CACAUCCGCAAGUUUUUAUUUGCUUCCAGUUGGCAAAAUUUAAACCAAUACUUAAAAACUAAGCAGGGAUUUUACAAAGUGAAAAACUAGACUGUUAGAUUGGAGUAGAAAAGAGAUCUUAUGUUUUAAUAUUUUGAAACUUAGAGUUUCACAAUUUAAAAUUAUUUCGAACCUUAGUUCAAAAAUCCCAGUUACUUAUCCAUAAGCAACAGAAAUAUUUGUUAAAUAUUAUGGCCUAUGGGUUACUGUGCUGGGCACUAUUUGCACUUGCCAAUGACAGAACGCAAUAAUCUCCUGUUUUCAUCGAAAGCUCUUCCAGUUCUAUGCAGGAGAAAUCAGUGUCUUCUUUUUCACC
rnacentral:lncRNA from 1 species